rnacentral:rRNA from 1 species
CCUACGGGAGGCAGCAGUGGGGAAUAUUGCACAAUGGGGGAAACCCUGAUGCAGCGACGCCGCGUGAGUGAAGAAGUAUUUCGGUAUGUAAAGCUCUAUCAGCAGGAACGAGACAAGACGGUACCUGACUAAUAAGCCCCGGCUAACUACGUGCCAGCAGCCGCGGUACUACGUAGGGGGCAAGCGUUAUCCGGAAUCACUGGGUGUAAAGGGAGCGUAGACGGCUGUGCAAGCCUGAGGUGAAAGGCGGGGGCCCAACCCCUGGACUGCUUUGGGAACUGUACGGCUGGAGUGCAGGAGAGGUAAGUGGAAUUCCUAGUGUAGCGGUGAAAUGCGUAGAUAUUAGGAGGAACACCAGUGGCGAAGGCGGCUUACUGGACUGUAACUGACGUUGAGGCUCGAAAGCGUGGGGAGCAAACAGGAUUAGAUACCCUAGUAGUC